GACACGACGUGCUUCACUAGCGAAAAGAAAAACUAGAAAAAACUGGGGAAAAUCUGGGAAAAUUACUCGUCGUCUUGUGAAUUGGCGCGGGCCAAGAAAAGCUAUCUUACAAAAAAAAAAACAUUUUCAAAGUUAUAAUCUAAAAAAAGAGAUAAAGAACAAUUUCUGUUAUGCACUGAGAGAAACAUUGCUAAGAGCGAAUAAGUAAGCAGAGAAAACGAAAAAUCUAUAGAAAAAUACUUAAAUAUAUACAGAUCCAUAAACAAACUGAUUUAUAUAUAUUUGAGUCGGACGUUUGAUUGAUUUGUGGCAACUAUCAAACAACAAACAAACAAAACAAAAAACAAAACACAAAGACCAGCAGCAGCAAGUCAGCAAAAACAACAAGGACAACAACAACUACAAUAAUAAAAAAAACAACAACAAGAACAACGAUUGCGGCUCAACGAAAACUGCCAUUGCUCCAGGGGCCAAACAAAGAAAUUUCUUAAAAAUGUUUUAUGACAACCACAUUGACCUCUUUCUUUGCCAAAAAAAAAAAAAUAACUCUAGUUUUGAGACAGGGAACUUGAUGGAAAAUAUUUUUAAUUAAAUCAGAAAACGCAAGCGUAUGAAUUUAAACAAUUGCAUACUAACUAUUUAUAAGGUUGCUCUGCUAAACAGCUGAAAUAGUUGUUUAAUUUAUACACUCAGUACUUCAUUAAAACGCUUUAAUUAGACA